CCCGCCAGGCUGAACUGUGCGCGAAACGGCUCCGUUCCCAAAGUGGCGGCCCGGCGACUGGGAUGGAAAUUUUCAAAAAUGUAUGAGGUAAAAUUAAAGAACCAGCCACAGAAACAGCCUUUCCGCAAGUGGAUGCAGCACUCUGAAGUCGACAGAGUAUCCCUGGUUCUUCUUUCCGUCUUCAUAAUGCCGAGUUUGGGCCGGUCUCAGGGCCUUUGCCCGGGAGGCUGCCAUGCCUGGUCUCUGCCCCAGACCCUCCUUUUCCCCGGACUGUUUCUGGCUUCCCAUUCCGGUUGGCGUCUGUGGGUCCUCCCUGACCACCCAGCACAUUCCGUCAUUGAACAAGUUUACUGAGCACCUACUAUGUGCCAGGUACUGAUCUAAGGGCUGUGGAACCACACACCAAGCAUCCAGUCCUGUUCUUUUUUUCUUUUCUUUUCCGGUUGAGUCCAAGACAGAAAAACCUGUUCUAUUUUAAUGGUAGCAUUUACCAUUCUACAUAAUUAUUUCGUGUGUAUUCCAGUUUGCCAGUUUAUGGUAUGCCUCCCCGACUCGAAUUUAAAAUCCCUGAGAGUGGGGGUGUUGGCUGCCUUGCCCUCUGCUGUGUGCCCAGCCCCAGGGACUGUGCCUGGCUCAAUGUAGGUGCUCAAAAUCACUUGAUGAAUGCAUCUUAUUCCCCUAGCAACCCUGCGAAUUUUCAUCACACCCAUUCUACGGGAGAGAAAACUGAGGCUCAGGUCAGGGAAGUACAGAAGCCGCGGAGCUAACGUGUGCCAGAGCAGGAACAGGAAUCCCUGUGGCUUUAAAGACUGUUGCUCUUUCUCCCACGGGACUAUCAGUGGAAAAGGUACUGAAGAGAGCGAGAGACCAGCAUUCCAGCCCAGAGUCUGGCUGGCACUCAUGCACUUUGUGGAAUGUUCUAGCUUCCAUCUGCUCAUCUCUCCACUGGCCAAUCAGGAUCAAGAAGAGCAGCUCUGCCCACUUAUGGGGCUAUGGUGAGGGUCAAAUGGGCCAGAGUGUGCAAGCUUUAGGGGCGUAAGAGGUGGUAUCCGAGUGGGUGGACCUUGUCAAGGUGGAAAACGUCCAGCCAGCCCUCCUUCUCGCAAUGGCUGGUGGCCCCUUCCAGCCAGACUGGCUCUGUGGGACCAGGCACCACUCUACACAACGGCUUUGCCCUGCCUCUAAUUUGGUUAGGGACUGUGUCGAACACACUUGGCUCUGGGCGCUGCAUCCAGUUCAGCUGUUGUCACCCCUGUCACCCCCACCGCACACAGGUCCUAAUCCCAUUAUCAAGGCUGCUGGUAGGAAAGGUGGAGAUGAUAUUUAAUAUGUUUACCCCUCUCAGUGUAUGCCUUUGAGAUUUUUUAGGUGUGGAUAUUGAAGAAUUUAGUUUCUUCAUCUGUACAAUCAGGAUUAUUGCGGUCCCCCCAACCUUCGGGACUUGUCACGAGGAUUAAAGGAGUAUACGCAGGAACCCGCUGAGACAUGUGUUGUAACCUCUGUUUCAUGUGCAGAGACCUGAGGCUCAGGGAGACAAGGUGACUGGGAAGUGGUGAAGCUGGAAUUCAAGCCAGGUGUGUCUGACCCCAGGGAUACUGAAGAGGGAGCACAGACAACAGGGGCUGGAAUUCUUUGGCCUCUCUGAACCCUUGACUGCUGGAAUUUGGAAGCUCCUGAAGUUUCCUGUUCUCCAUGGAAUUCCUUACAAGCCCACAAGUGGGGACCAGUUUCCUGGUUGAUUUGGAGCUGCGUGUAAAAGAGGCAGUGUGAUGAGGCAGAAAGAGCAUGGGAUUACUUCCUUGGCGGACUUGGCAGGGGGCCUCUGGCAGUGACUGGCUGUGCAACCUUAGGCAGGUGAAUUCACCUCUCUGAUCCUCAGUCUCCUCCUCUGUAAGAGAGGGAUAAUAAUGGCCCCUACUUUAUAAGGUUAUGAAAAUUAACUAGAUAAUACACAUAAGCCAUUAGUUUAAUGCUUGGCACAUAGUAAGAAUUGGAUAAACACUGAGCCACUGUUGUUAUGGUAGAUAUGGUGUCGUCAUUAGCAACUGAAACCUUGGUAGAGGUUUUGUUCUUGGGGAAGGAUUCUAGAACUAGGUAGAAUGAGAGUGGAGGAGUGAGUAGGGAGAGAAUGUUCCUUCUCUAUCCCACUGGCAGCCACCUCAAACUGCACAUGCCCAAGGCCGGCUCAGGAAAUACCCAGUGAUCCUUCUCGUCUACUCAUCUUUGGGAAACAGGGUGUUCUGCAGGCCCACUCGGUCUGGCUCAAAAGCACAGGUCUGUGCAUUCCCACACACUCAGGCACCCUCUCUCGGCACCAUGUGUUGAUAAGUCAAGGGCAUGGGUGUCGGAGUUGCCCUGGAAGUACCUUAUAAGAACAGAGGAAGGCACCCCAAUUUUAAAAACCGCCAAUUGCAUGCACGUAUUUUGAUUUCUCCUUGUUUGAGUCUGCAGGGGAUCUGACCGAUGUCCAUUGUUCUGGGGCCCAACAGUGGCCUCAGCUCCUGGGACUUCGCGGUGUUUUAGGGCUAAUGCAGUCCAACUCACUCACUUUGGGGAAAAUAAAGCUGAAAGAGGCAAAAGACCUAGCUCAACAACACACAGCCACUGAGCCAGGGUGGCUCCCAUGCUCCAGUGGUAGAGUUCUCCCAUCCCUCCCUGGCAAAGGCACAGUCACCAUGAACAGUGUCCAGCUGUAACUCUCAUCCUGCCAGGAGGAAGAGGAGGGAGCAGGACAGGACAAUGCACUGGGCCUGGCAGCCGCUCUGAGGUUUCAAGUCUGUUUCCCCAUCAUGGGGCCUUUCGAAGGAAAUAACGUGUCACCUCCCACAUUCUGCUCCCCUGCACUCCCAAAUAAAGCCCCGGCUGGGGCCUGCCCCUGGCAGCCUCGGAAAGCCACUCCCUCUAGCAGAUGCCUCCCCUGUGUUAAGAAGCAGAAUUGUCGCGAGAAGGCACACAAGGCCGUUCAGAUGAUUGUGACUCUCUGGGUGAGGUGGGAGUGGUGGGGUUAUUGGUGAGAACCGUUGCAUUUAUGGGGACUCUUAUCUUUACAAGAAGCUCAAAUGGGACUUGAGAUGCAAUAACAAGAAAAGCAACACCCAUAAAGACUUGGUUCUAUUGCGUGGGACCUUGCAGGAGAUGGGCAGCUGGACCCGCUCUGUGUGGAGGGCAGUCCUGGUGACCCCAGGAUUCUCGGUGUAGUCUAGGCUGAUGUCAUGGAGCUGGGACUUCUGGUGGGGUGCUGGGAGCCCUUCCCAGGCCCACCCCUCUCUACCCGCCUCCACUUCUGCCAGCUGAUGUGGGACUCCCCGUUCCCCCCCGCGGCAUCAGAAGUACCAUCCCUUCACCCACGUUCUCCCCCUCCAACCCUGGGGGCGACUCAAGGGCAGACCCAAACAGCCAGGACGUUUGGCAAGGUUGGGACGGGCAGUGCUGGUGGAAG